rnacentral:tRNA from 1 species
AUGCUAUUGAAGUUUACGGCAAACAAAAAUAAGAAACUGUGGCAAAAAAGCCUGCCGGCCCCAGGAAUCGAACCUGGGUUUGUUCGGCCACAACGAACUGUACUAACCACUAUACUAGACCGGCCGUAUAUGCAAAAAGGGGUCUUGGACAAUAUAUAA